rnacentral:rRNA from 1 species
CAAAAGUCGUGCACGCCGGAGCACGUCCUCUCUCUCACAUAAAAUCCAUCUCACCCUUUUGUGCACCACCGCGCGGGCACCCUUUGGGAUGCUUGCGUUUUCACACAAACCCCUUUUAAAAAAGUGUAGAAUGACCCCACUUUGCGAUGACACGCAAUCAAUACAACUUUCAACAACGGAUCUCUUGGCUCUCGCAUCGAUGAAGAACGCAGCGAAAUGCGAUACGUAAUGUGAAUUGCAGAAUUCAGUGAAUCAUUGAAUCUUUGAACGCACCUUGCGCCCCUUGGUAUUCCGAGGGGCACACCCGUUUGAGUGUCGUGAAAAUCUCAACCUUCUCGGUUUUCUUCUGGACACCGAAGGAGGCUUGGACUUUGGAGGCCUUUGCUGGCGUCUCUCUAGAGCCAGCUCCUCUUAAAUGAAUUAGCGGGGUCCUCUUUGCCGAUCCUUGACAUGUGAUAAGAUGUUUCCAUGACUCGGUUUCUGGCUCUGUUGCAUUUGGGACCUGCUUCUAACCGUCUCGACGAGACGAUGUUUGGGAGUGUCUCCCUUCUCGGGAGACUCUCUCGACCCCACGAACC